rnacentral:rRNA from 1 species
UACGUAGGGUGCAGGCGUUAAUCGGAAUUAUUGGGCGUAAAGCGCGCGCAGGCGGUCUGGAAAGUCUAUGGGUGAAAUGCCGGGGCUCAACCCCGUGCAUGCCCAGGAUACUGUCAGACUGGAGACACGUAGAGGCAAGCGGAAUUUCGGGUGUAGCGGUGGAAUGCGUAGAUAUCCGAAAGAACACCGGAGGCGAAGGCGGCUUGCUGGGCGUGAUCUGACGCUGAGGCGCGAAAGCGUGGGGAGCGAACAGG